UACGAAGGGGGCUAGCGUUGUUCGGAUUUACUGGGCGUAAAGGGCGCGUAGGCGGAUUUUUACGUCAGGGGUGAAAUCCCAAGGCUCAACCUUGGAACUGCCUUUGAUACUGGGAAUCUUGAGUCCGGGAGAGGUGAGUGGAACUGCGAGUGUAGAGGUGAAAUUCGUAGAUAUUCGCAAGAACACCAGUGGCGAAGGCGGCUCACUGGCCCGGAACUGACGCUGAGGCGCGAAAGCGUGGGGAGCAAACAGG
rnacentral:rRNA from 1 species